GAUGAAGAACGCAGCGAAAUGCGAUAAGUAAUGUGAAUUGCAGAAUUCAGUGAAUCAUCGAAUCUUUGAACGCACAUUGCGCCCGCUAGUAUUCUGGCGGGCAUGCCUGUUCGAGCGUCAUUUCAACCAUCAAGCCCUGUUUAGGCUUGUGUUGGGGCCCUGCGGUUGCCGCAGCCCCCUAAAUGCAGUGGCGGGCUCGUUGUCACUCCGAGCGCAGUAGCGUAUCUCGCUCUGGGCGUGGCGGCGGGUGCUAGCCGUGAAACACCCGCUAAGGUUGACCUCGGAUCAGGUAGGAAUACCCGCUGAACUUAAGCAUAUCAAUAAGCGGAGGA
rnacentral:misc_RNA from 1 species